rnacentral:rRNA from 1 species
CCCUUAGAUGUCCGGGGCUGCACGCGCGCUACACUGAAGGAAUCAGCGUGCUAAAACCAUUGUCGAAAGGCAUUGGUAAACCCAUUAAAAUCCUACGUGAUUGGGAUCGGGAAUUGCAAUUAUUUCCCUUGAACGAGGAAUUCCCAGUAAGUGUGGGUCAUAAGCUCGCGUUGAUUACGUCCCUGCCCUUUGUACACACCUCCCGUCGCUGCCCGGGACUGAGCCGUUUCGAGAAAAGCGGGGACUGCUGCUGUCGGGGCUUUCGGGCCUUGGCUUCGGUGGAAACCGCUUUAAUCGCAGUGGCUUGAACCGGGCAAAAGUCGUAACA